rnacentral:tRNA from 1 species
GCGGGUAUAAGUUAGUGGUAGACUAUCUCGUUGCCAACGAGAAAACGCGAGUUCGAUUCUCGCUACCCGCA